AUGACUCUCGGUAACGGAUAUCUCAACUCUCGCAUCGGUGAAGAACGUAUUGAAAUACGAUACUUGGUGUAAAUUUUAGAAUUUCGUGAACGAUCGAGUCUUUGAAUGCAACUUACGCCCCAAGCCAUUAGGCCAAGUGCACGUCUACCUGGGUGUCACGCAUCGUAGUCCCCAUCCAACUUUGAGCCGUUGAGCCUCAGUUGGACCGUGAGGGAAAAUUGACCUUCCGUGUGCUUACAGCCAGUGGUUGGACGAAAUUCUAAUCCUCAACGACAUCAUCAUCGUGACAAUCAGUGGAAAUGAUGUAAGAAACCUCGUUCGGAGUCAUGCAUGUUGGUCGAUCGAGACCCUUGAACCCUUUCGGCAUCGCAAGGAUGGUGCUCGCAUUGUGACCCCAGGUCAGCCAGGAUUACUCGCUGAACUUAAGCAUAUGAGUAAGCGGAGGAAAAGAAACUUACCAAUAUUCCCUUAGUAACGACAAACGAAUCGGGAAAAGCCCAGCUUGAGAAUCGAUCACCAUCGGUAUUUGAAUUGUAGUCUAAAGAAGCGUCCUCAGCAGUGGACCAGGCCUAAGUUUCUUGAAAAGGGGCGUUAGAGAGGGUGAGAGCCCCGCCAUGCCUAAAACCUGUCGCACCAUGAGGUACUAUCUACGAUUCAAGUUGUUUGGGAAUGUAGCCCUAAUCGGGCGAUAAAUUUUGUCUAAGGUUAAAUACGGGCAAGAGACGGAUUGCGAACAAGUACCGCAAGGGAAAGAUGAAAAAGACUUUGAAAAGAGAGUCAAAGAAUGCUUGAAAUUGUUGGGAGGAAAGCGGAUAGGGGCUGGCGAUGCACCUUGGUCGGAUGUGGAACAGUGAGAGUCGGUUCGCCGAUCAGCUCGGGACAUGGACUGACAUGGGUCAUGGCGGUGGCCUAAGCCCGAGCCUUUGAUACGCCCAUAGAGACAUCAUUUCCACGAUUGUGGGAUCGAGCACGUACCGUCUCAGUAUGCUCCGGAAACUGCAUGCUCCGAGCGUUAGCUUGUGGGCUCCCUAUUUGGCCUGUCUUGAAACACAGACCAAGGAGUCUGGCAUGUGUGUGAGUCAACGGGCUAGAAAACCCAUAAGGCGCAAGGAAGCUGAUUGGCAGGAUCCCUCGUGGUGUACUAUCGAUAGACCUUGAUCUUUUGAGAAAGGUUCGAGAGAGAGUAUGCCUGUCGAGACCUAAAAUAUGGUGAACUAUGCUUCAGUGGGACGAUGCUAAAGGAAACUCUAGCAGAAGCCUGUAGCAAUACUUACAUGCAAAUUGUUCAUUUGACUUUGUUAUAAGGGCAAAAGACAAAUUGAACCGUCUAGUAGUUGGUUCCCUCCAAAGUUUCCCUUAGGAUAGCUGGAGCCCUUAGCGAGUUCUAUCGAGUAAAGCCAAUGAUUAGAGGCAUCGUGGGGGCAACACCCUCAACUUAUUCUCAAACUUUAAAUAGGUAGGAGGGCGCGACUGCUUCGUUGAGCUGUGCCACAAAAUCGAGAGCUCCAAGUGGGCCAUUUUUGGUAAGUAGAACUAGCAAUACGAGAUGAAUCGAAAGCUGGGUUACGGUGCCCAAUUAUGUGCUAACCUAUAACCCACAAAAGGUGCUAGUUGAUUAAGACAGUAGAAUGGUGGUCAUGGAAGUCGAAAUCUGCUAAGGAGUGUGUAACAAAUUACCUGCCGAAUCAAAUACCUAGAAAAUAGAUGGAACUUAAUCGCAUGACCUAUAACCAGCCGUCGGGGAACGGGCCAGGCCUCGAUGAGUAAGAGUAUGCGGUGGUCACCGCAAAACCCGUGGUGCGACCCUGGCGAAGCGACUAUCAGUGUAAAUCUUGAUGGUAGCAGCAAAUAUUCAAAUGAAAACUUUGAAAGCUGAAAACGGUAAAGGUUCCAUGUGAACAACACUUGCACAUGGGUUAGUCGAUCUUAAGAGACAGGGGAAGCCCAUCCGAUAGCCCGCCCAGGGUGAGCUUUAAAAAGGAAUCGGGUUAAAAUUCCUAAACUAAGAUGCGACAGUUGACGGCAAUAUUAGGGAGUCCUGAGACGUCGGUGGGGGCCUCAGGAAGAGUUAUCUUUUCUGUUUAACGGCUUGUCCACCCUAGAAACGACUUAGUCGACGGUAGGGUCUAGCGGUAGGAAGGGCACCGCAUGUCGCAUAGUGUCCAUUGUGCUCCCGGCGACCCUUGAAAAUUCAAAAGACCAAGUGCCGUCCGCGCCCAGUUGUACUCAUAACCGCAUCAGGUCUCCAAGGUGAACAGCCUCUGGGUAAUAGAACAAUGUAGGCAAAGGAAGUAGGCAAAAUAGAUCCAUAACCUCAGGAAAGGGAUUGGCUCUGAGGGUUGGGCACGGGGGUCCCAGUCCCGAACCUAUCGGUUACUGGUAUACUGCUUAAGCUACUCCUGUGAUGAAAGCAAGUCACCUCAUGCUGGUCAGGGACGGACUGGGAAUGACUCCCUCAAUGGCCUUCCCCAGGCGACGAACAGUCGACUCAAAACUGGUAUAGACAAUGGGAAUUUGACUGUUUAAUUAAAACAAAGCAUUGCUAUGGUCCCUACGGAUGCUCAGGCAAUGUGAUUUCUACCUAGUGCUCUGAAUGUUAAAGUGAAGAAAUUCAACCAAGUGUGGGUAAACAACGGGAGUGCCUAUGAGUCUCUUAAGGUAGUCGAAGGCCUCAUCAUCUAAUUAGUGACGUGCAUGAAUGGAUUAAUGAGAUUCCCACUGUCCCUGUUUACUAUCCAACGAAACCACAGCCAAGGGAACGAGCUUGGCAGAAUCAGCGGGUAAAGAAGACCCUGUUGAGCUUGACUCUAGUCCAACGUUGUGAAAUGACUUGAGAGGUGUAGGAUAAGUGGGAGCUCUCAGAUGAAAUUGAAAUACCACUACUUUUUGGACCCAAGGUCGGCUUCGGAGGCGGCACAUUUGUUAAAAGGUAACACAAGUGUCCUAAAAUGAGUUCAACAGGAACAAAAAUCUUGUGUGGAACAAAAGGGUAAAAGCUCGUUUAAUUCUGAUUCCCAGUACGAAUACGAACCAUGAAAGCGUGGUCUAUCAAUCCUUUAGACCUUCGGAAUUUGAAGCUAGAGGUGUCAAAAAACUUACCACAUGGAUAACAAGCUUGUGGUAACCAAACGUUCAUAGCGACAUUGUUUUUUGAUCCUUCGGUGUUAGAUCUUCCUAUCAUUGUGAAACAAAAUUCACAAGUGUUGGAUUGUUCACCCACCAAUAGGGAACGUGAGCUGGGUUUAGACCAUCGUGAGACAGAUUAGUUUUAUCCUGCUGAUGGCCACGUCACAAUAGUAAUUCAACCUAGUACGAGAAGAAUCAUUGAUUCGUACAACUGGUCGUUACGCUUGGUUGAAAAGCCAGUGGCGUGAAGCUACCGUUCUUUGGAUUAUGACUAAACUCCUCUAAGUUAGAGUCCUCGCUAGAAGUGAUGCACACGCCCGUCAUCCGAUUGCAGACCCGCAGUAGGGGCCUCUGGCCCCCAAGGGCACGUGUCGUAGGUGCAGCGAUCGCGGCACACAAGUCGCAGGCGCCAUCCUU
rnacentral:rRNA from 1 species